GUGCUGGGAUUACAGGCAUGAGCCACCAAGCUGGGCCAUUUUUUAAAUUUUUUUAAAAGACGUCUCAUGCGUCUAUCAAGAUAUUUCAAAAUAAAAGGAAGUUUUCAGUUUGACAAAGCUAUAAAAUACAAAUAAUCAAGAUAGAAACAAGAUAAGACUUUAAUUAGAAGUCUUCAAUAUUCAUGUAUUUACAUAAGUGUUGAAAAGAUAAAGGUUUCAUGAUAAGGUGAUAAAGAUAACCAGGACAAUUCAAGACGUACGUAAAUAAUGACAGGACACAUUUUUGAGAUUCCUUUGCUUUUUUUUUUUUAAGAAUAUAUAAGAAUAUUUCCAGCUGGCCAUAUCAGAGAAGAUGGUUUUGGAACAGAAACCAUCUUCACUGGCUCUUGAAGGAUAAAAAUGUUUUAAACAAGCAGAAAUGAGGAGUUGC
rnacentral:lncRNA from 1 species